CAUGGUUGGAAUCGGAUAUGCGGACGUAGCCUUUGUCCAUGGGGCAGCCACUCUUACAGAUUUCUGGCCGGAUGACAUCACAGCGAGACAUUUCCAACACAGACAAACCCAAUGUGAUACACCCAAUCUAUUUGGAUUUGGAGAUUUGAAAGGGACCUAAUGACCAGC